rnacentral:rRNA from 1 species
UACGUAGGGGGCAAGCGUUGUCCGGAAUUACUGGGCGUAAAGCGCGUGUAGGCGGUCUGAAUAGUCUGCUGUGAAAGCGCCUGGCUUAACCGGGCGAGGUCGGCGGAAACUCUCAGACUGGAGGCUGGUAGAGGGGGGUGGAAUUCCCGGUGUAGUGGUGAAAUGCGUAGAGAUCGGGAGGAACACCUGUGGCGAAGGCGGCCCCCUGGGCCGCGCCUGACGCUGAGGCGCGAAGGCUAGGGGAGCGAACGGG